UUGGAAGUGAUGACUUUUUCCCCAGAUGAUCGAAGCUGAUUAUACUGAGCGCACUAUUAUUCUCCUUGAGAGAAUCAAGCCAAUUUUCUGAUCCAU